AGAUAUGAUUAAUUAUUAUAUUAUUUCUAUGAAGAAAUUUUGGCUAUUUCUUCAUAUAAAUAAAUACUAUUCCUUGUUGGUGUUGAAGAUCCACUAGAAAAAGUUAUAUAGCGGGGAGAUUUCCACAUAAUGAUCUCAAUUUGCAUGUCAUAUUGAUCUACUUUUAGGUAUAAGAUUUUAGAAAUUAUUCUUUUUUCGACUUUGUAUGGAUCGACUUCAACGAGUUUAAUUGUGUCAAAUAAGGAAACUAUUUACGUUUAUGUAGUAUCCUCUGGAUAUUUGUUAAAUAAAAUGACUGACUUAAAUAUAAAUGUGCGGGCAGUUUUAGAAGUUUGAUUAUUUGUAGUUGCCACAUCCUCUACUCUUUAGAUCGAAUAAAUCUCGUCGAUUAUUGGUAAAUUUUUUAAAUUCUGUUUCUACCGUAAUCACUCUGUAUAUGGUCCUAAGAUAUCUGGGAGACGGAAGUGACAGAGCAUUGGAUUUAUAUAUUUGCUCGUAGAGGCCUGAACUGAUAUUGUCCUAUAUCAAAACAAGGGAAAGGAUACCAGAAGAACAUCUUUUACCUUUAGGUUAUUUAAAGAGAUGAAAAAUUUCCUCCAAUAUGAACUAGAGCUUGGAAGAUUGAAUCUGGUCCCAAAAAAAAUAUGAAAAAUUAAGAAGCUGUUUGAUUCCUUUGUUUCAGAUGCAUGCAAAGUGCGUAGUCUCUUUUGGCCAAACGGGUACAAAAGAUGCCAUAGCAAAAAAGUUAUAUACAUAAGUUUUAAAAAAAUCUGGACCUUCAAGAAUUAUGGUAGGUUGCUGUUUCGAAGGAAUAUAUACCUGAAGGAAAACCACCGUACUUAUGAGAGUGGUAUGUUCUAUUCACUUUUUAACUGACUUUGAAACAGAGCCGCAAUUGAGUAAUAUCACAUUAAAAAGAAUAAUUUCAAAUAAAACAGUUAUACUCAAAGGAUGGGCAAUAAAAAUCGUUUUAUCCUCGGCUAAAAAUAGAAGAAAACAUUCCAAUGUAAGGCUGGAAACAAGGUGCACAGAGUUCAUCAACCAUUACAAUACCAAAUUAAUAUUGGAUCUAAAAUUGAGAAUAGAUAAAAAUUGUAUACCAAUAGGCAUAAAUGUUAAAUAGCUGGAUGAAGAUGGAGAGUUUAUUUAAAUUACAAUUAAUGCUAACGUCAUUCAAAUUGAUCGUUGUUGUUAAUGCAUUUGACUUUGUAAUUAAUUUAACAUUGCAAUCAUAACCAAGAACAGUCAUUCAUGAAUGAAAGCGUUCUCACGUGCACAUCCAAAUGGCAGUAUGGUAAACCGAUAAAUCUCAAGAGGAUUUGCAUCCGAAAGAAACAAACAAAGAAGUUUUAACAAAUCCAUAUCUGAUUCUUUUAUUAGUCGUAUGUCUAGAAACAUUUUUGUUAUACCUAUUGUUCCAAUAAACUUGUGUAUUUUGAAUGUA
rnacentral:lncRNA from 1 species